UACGUAGGGGGCAAGCGUUUGUCCGGAUUUAUUGGGCGUAAAGAGCUCGUAGGCGGCUUGUUGCGUCGGCUGUGAAAACCCAUGGCUCAACCGUGGGCUUGCAGCCGAUACGGGCAGGCUAGAGUUCGGUAGGGGAGACUGGAAUUCCUGGUGUAGCGGUGAAAUGCGCAGAUAUCAGGAGGAACACCGGUGGCGAAGGCGGGUCUCUGGGCCGAUACUGACGCUGAGGAGCGAAAGCGUGGGGAGCGAACAGG
rnacentral:rRNA from 1 species